rnacentral:rRNA from 1 species
UACGUAGGUGGCAAGCGUUGUCCGGAAUCAUUGGGCGUAAAGCGCGUGUAGGCGGCUUGGUAAGUCCGUUCUGAAAGCCCGGGGCUCAACCCCGGGAGGCGGAUGGAUACUGUCAAGCUUGAGUCCGGAAGAGGCGAGUGGAAUUCCCGGUGUAGCGGUGAAAUGCGCAGAUAUCGGGAGGAACACCAGUGGCGAAGGCGACUUCCUGGCCUGUUCUUGACGCUGAGGCGCGAAAGCUAGGGGAGCAAACGGG